rnacentral:RNase_P_RNA from 1 species
GGAGUUGGCCAGGCAGUCGCUGUUCCGGCUUGGCCGGAAUGGAGGAAAGUCCGGGCUCCACAGGACAGGACGCCAGGUAACGCCUGGGGGGCGUGAGCCUACGGAAAGUGCCACAGAAAAUAUACCGCCUGCCCGGCUGCUGCCGUGAAGGUAAGGGUGAAAUGGUGCGGUAAGAGCGCACCGCGCUUCCGGCAACGGAAGUGGCAGGGUAAACCCCGUCCGGAGCAAGACCAAAUAGGGGGGCCGCCAGAUUUAUCUGGCACGUGUGGUCCGCACGGCUCCCGGGUAGGUUGCUCGAGGCGUUCCGCGAGGAAUGUCCCAGAUGAAUGACUGCUCUCGACAGAACCCGGCUUAUCGGCUGACUCCGCUC